rnacentral:rRNA from 1 species
AGUGAACGCUGGCGGCAGGCCUAACACAUGCAAGUCGAACGGCAGCACAAGAGAGCUUGCUCUCUGGGUGGCGAGUGGCGGACGGGUGAGGAAUGCAUCGGAAUCUGCCCAUUUGUGGGGGAUAACCUCGGGAAACCGGGACUAAUACCGCAUACGACCUACGGGUGGAAGCAGGGGAUCUUCGGACCUUGCGCAGAUGGAUGAGCCGAUGCCGGAUUAGCUAGUUGGAGGGGUAAAGGCCCACCAAGGCGACGAUCCGUAGCUGGUCUGAGAGGAUGAUCAGCCACACUGGGACUGAGACACGGCCCAGACUCCUACGGGAGGCAGCAGUGGGGAAUAUUGGACAAUGGGCGCAAGCCUGAUCCAGCCAUGCCGCGUGUGUGAAGAAGGCCUUCGGGUUGUAAAGCACUUUUGUUGGGAAAGAAAAGCAGCCGGUUAAUACCCGGUUGUCAUGACGGUACCCAAAGAAUAAGCACCGGCUAACUUCGUG